GCCAGGCAUGGUGGUGCACGCCUGUAAUCCCAGCUACUUGGGAGGCUGAGGCAGAAGAAUCACUUGAACCUGGGAGGCGGAGGUUGCAGUGAGCCAAGAUCAUACCACUGCACCCCAGCCUGGGUGACAGAGUGAGACUCUGUCUCAA
rfam:Gorilla gorilla gorilla genomic chromosome, chr14, whole genome shotgun sequence